rnacentral:tRNA from 1 species
AUUUAAAUAGUUUAUAUAAAAUAUUGAUUUGUGGUAUCAAAGAUGCAAUAAUUUGUUUUAAAUA